rnacentral:rRNA from 1 species
UACGUAGGGGACCAAGCGUUGUUCGGAUUUACUGGGCGUAAAGGGCGCGUAGGCGGCGUGGUAAGUCACUUGUGAAAUCUCUGAGCUUAACUCAGAACGGUCAAGUGAUACUGCUGUGCUAGAGUGCGGAAGGGGCAAUCGGAAUUCUUGGUGUAGCGGUGAAAUGCGUAGAUAUCAAGAGGAACACCUGAGGUGAAGACGGGUUGCUGGGCCGACACUGACGCUGAUGCGCGAAAGCCAGGGGAGCAAACGGG